rnacentral:tRNA from 1 species
GGGGCCAUAGCUCAGUUGGGAGNNCUUGCAUGGCAUGCAAGAGGUCGUCGGUUCGAUUCCGUCUGGCUCCACCA